GAUGAACGCUGGCGGCGUGCCUAAUACAUGCAAGUCGAGCGAACGGACGAGAAGCUUGCUUCUCUGAUGUUAGCGGCGGACGGGUGAGUAACACGUGGAUAACCUACCUAUAAGACUGGGAUAACUUCGGGAAACCGGAGCUACUACCGGAUAAUAUUUUGAACCGCAUGGUUCAAAAGUGAAAGACGGUCUUGCUGUCACUUAUAGAUGGAUCCGCGCUGCAUUAGCUAGUUGGUAAGGUAACGGCUUACCAAGGCAACGAUGCAUAGCCGACCUGAGAGGGUGAUCGGCCACACUGGAACUGAGACACGGUCCAGACUCCUACGGGAGGCAGCAGUAGGGAAUCUUCCGCAAUGGGCGAAAGCCUGACGGAGCAACGCCGCGUGAGUGAUGAAGGUCUUCGGAUCGUAAAACUCUGUUAUUAGGGAAGAACAUAUGUGUAAGUAACUGUGCACAUCUUGACGGUACCUAAACAGAAAGCCACGGCUAACUACGUG
rnacentral:rRNA from 1 species